UGGAAGGUUAUUGGAAUUACUUAACUGGUACAGUUACACAGAUUGUAAACACCCAGACUGUAAAAUCUGGAUCUAUCCGUUACUUUGGUGCCUAAGUUGACCAGUGAUGUCCUCUCUGGUCACCUGCAGAAGAUCUCCAUCUCUUUCCUGUAUCAUCAUAAAACCCUGGUAAAGCAUGGAAUGCAUUCAUCUGUCUGAUGAAAACAAAAGAAAACCCUCCUGAGUUCAGGUAAGGUAACCAGCCAGUCAGUGGUUCCCACAAGCACUGACUGUCGUCGGACUUCUGGCAUUGGUCAUCAAGAGGAUGAAGGAGAGAUUGGAUAGGUCACUGCCAACCAAAUACCACUUCUAGAAGAGGAAUUUUUAAUACUAUGAAUUGCUAAUGGACAUACCAUGUAUGCCUAAAUCAGUAACAUCACAUAGGGCAUAAAUUAUCACUUUUCAAAGC
rnacentral:lncRNA from 1 species